GAUGAACGCUGGCGGCGUGCUUAACACAUGCAAGUUGAACGAAACUUUCAGAAACAGAUUCUUCGGAUGACGAUUCUGAAACGUUUAGUGGCGGAUGGGCGAGUAACACGUGAGGAACCUGCCUUUCACAGGGGAAUAACACUGGGAAACCAGUGCUAAUACCGCAUAAUGUAUUAAAGUGGCAUCACAUUAAUACCAAAGAUUUUAUCGGUGAAAGAUGGCCUCGCGCCUGAUUAGCUAGUAGGUGAGGUAACGGCUCACCUAGGUGAUGAUCAGUAGCCGGACUGAGAGGUUGAUCGGCCGCAUUGGGACUGAGACACGGCCCAGACUCCUACGGGAGGCAGCAGUGGGGAAUAUUGGGCAAUGGGCGCAAGCCUGACCCAGCAACGCCGCGUGAAGGAAGACGGUCUUCGGAUUGUAAACUUCUUUAGACAGGGACGAAACAAAUGACGGUACCUGUAGAAUAAGCCACGGCUAACUACGUGCCAGCAGCCGCGGUAAUACGGAAGGUCCGGGCGUUAUCCGGAUUUAUUGGGUUUAAAGGGAGCGUAGGCCGCCAGGUAAGCGUGUUGUGAAAUGUACCGGCUCAACCGGUGAAUUGCAGCGCGAACUGUCUGGCUUGAGUGCACGGUAAGCAGGCGGAAUUCAUGGUGUAGCGGUGAAAUGCUUAGAUAUCAUGAAGAACUCCGAUUGCGAAGGCAGCUUGCUGCAGUGCGACUGACGCUGAUGCUCGAAGGUGCGGGUAUCAAACAGGAUUAGAUACCCUGGUAGUCCGCACGGUAAACGAUGGAUGCCCGCUGUCCGCCCUUUUGUGGCGGGUGGCCAAGCGAAAGCGUUAAGCAUCCCACCUGGGGAGUACGCCGGCAACGGUGAAACUCAAAGGAAUUGACGGGGGCCCGCACAAGCGGAGGAACAUGUGGUUUAAUUCGAUGAUACGCGAGGAACCUUACCCGGGCUUGAACUGCCAGUGAACGAUACAGAGAUGUUGAGGCCCUUCGGGGCGCUGGUGGAGGUGCUGCAUGGUUGUCGUCAGCUCGUGCCGUGAGGUGUCGGCUUAAGUGCCAUAACGAGCGCAACCCCUUUCUUCAGUUGCCAUCAGGUAAUGCUGGGCACUCUGGAGAUACUGCCACCGCAAGGUGUGAGGAAGGUGGGGAUGACGUCAAAUCAGCACGGCCCUUACGUCCGGGGCUACACACGUGUCACAAUGGGGCAUACAGAGUGUUGGCUUAACGCAAGUUUGGUCUAAUCUUCAAAGUGUCUCCCAGUUCGGACUGGGGUCUGCAACCCGACCCCACGAAGCUGGAUUCGCUAGUAAUCGCGCAUCAGCCAUGGCGCGGUGAAUACGUUCCCGGGCCU
rnacentral:rRNA from 1 species